rnacentral:rRNA from 1 species
UACGAAGGGGGCUAGCGUUGCUCGGAAUCACUGGGCGUAAAGGGUGCGUAGGCGGGUCUUUUAAGUCAGGGGGUGAAAUCCUGGAGCUCAACUCCAGAACUGCCUUUGAUACUGAAGAUCUUGAGUCCGGGAGAGGUGAGUGGAACUGCGAGUGUAGAGGUGAAAUUCGUAGAUAUUCGCAAGAACACCAGUGGCGAAGGCGGCUCACUGGCCCGGUACUGACGCUGAGGUGCGAAAGCGUGGGGAGCAACAGG